ensembl:lncRNA
GGCAGAUGUUUGUGGGGGACAGGUGUCAGGAAGGUGUGUGUGGGGGACAGGUGUCAGGCAGAUGUAUGUGGGGGACAGGUGUCAGGCAAGUGUGUGUGUGGGGGACAGGUGUCAGGCAGGUGUGUGUGGGGGACAGGUGUCAGGCAAGUGUGUGUGUGAGGGAUAGGUGUUAGGCAGAUGUUUGUGGGGGACAGGUGUCAGGCAGGUGUGUGUGUGUGUGUGUUUGUGUGGAGGAUAGGUGUCAGGCAGGUGUGUGUGUGUUUGUGGGGGACAGGUGUCAGGCAGGUGUGUGUGUGGGACAUGUGUCAGGCAGAUGUGUGUGUGUGUGGGGGGACAGAUGUAUGGCAGUUGUGUGUGUGUGGGACAAGUGUCAGGCAGAUGUGUGUGUGGGGGGGACAGGUGUCAGGCAGGUGUGUGUGUGGGGGGACAGGUGUCAGGCAGGUGUGUGUUGAGGGACAGGUGUCAGGCAGGUGUGUGUGUGUGGGGGACAGGUGUCAGGCAGAUGUUUGUGGGGGACAGGUGUCAAGCAGGUGUGUAUGUGUGGGGGACAGGUUUCAUGCAGGUAGUGUGGGGGCCAGGUGUCAGUCAGGUGUGUGUGUGGGGGACAGGUGUCAGGCAGGUGUGAGUGUCAGUAACUAAUGAGGCCAUCAGCCAACCG